rnacentral:rRNA from 1 species
GACGAACGCUGGCGCCGUGCUUAACACAUGCAAGUCGUACGGUAAGGCCCUUUCGGGGGUCCACGAGUGGCGAACGGGUGAGUAACACGUGAGUAACCUGCCCACAACUUUGGGAUAACGCUAGGAAACUGGUGCUAAUACUGGAUAUGUGCCCCUGCUGCAUGGUGGGGGUUGGAAAGCUCCGGCGGUUGUGGAUGGACUCGCGGCCUAUCAGCUUGUUGGUGGGGUAGUGGCCUACCAAGGCGGCGACGGGUAGCCGGCCUGAGAGGGUGACCGGCCACAUUGGGACUGAGAUACGGCCCAGACUCCUACGGGAGGCAGCGGUGGGGAAUAUUGCACAAUGGGCGCAAGCCUGAUGCAGCAACGCCGCGUGCGGGAUGACGGCCUUCGGGUUGUAAACCGCUUUCAGCAGGGACGAAGCUUUUUGUGACGGUACCUGCAGAAGAAGCACCGGCUAACUACGUG